rnacentral:rRNA from 1 species
AAGAGAGGAGCUUGCUCUUCUUGGAUGAGUUGCGAACGGGUGAGUAACGCGUAGGUAACCUGCCUUGUAGCGGGGGAUAACUAUUGGAAACGAUAGCUAAUACCGCAUAACAAUGGAUGACACAUGUCAUUUAUUUGAAAGGGGCAAUUGCUCCACUACAAGAUGGACCUGCGUUGUAUUAGCUAGUAGGUGAGGUAAUGGCUCACCUAGGCGACGAUACAUAGCCGACCUGAGAGGGUGAUCGGCCACACUGGGACUGAGACACGGCCCAGACUCCUACGGGAGGCAGCAGUAGGGAAUCUUCGGCAAUGGGGGCAACCCUGACCGAGCAACGCCGCGUGAGUGAAGAAGGUUUUCGGAUCGUAAAGCUCUGUUGUAAGUCAAGAACGGGUGUGAGAGUGGAAAGUUCACACUGUGACGGUAGCUUACCAGAAAGGGACGGCUAACUACGUGCCAGCAGCCGCGGUAAUACGUAGGUCCCGAGCGUUGUCCGGAUUUAUUGGGCGUAAAGCGAGCGCAGGCGGUUUGAUAAGUCUGAAGUUAAAGGCUGUGGCUCAACCAUAGUUCGCUUUGGAAACUGUCAAACUUGAGUGCAGAAGGGGAGAGUGGAAUUCCAUGUGUAGCGGUGAAAUGCGUAGAUAUAUGGAGGAACACCGGUGGCGAAAGCGGCUCUCUGGUCUGUAACUGACGCUGAGGCUCGAAAGCGUGGGGAGCGAACAGGAUUAGAUACCCUGGUAGUCCACGCCGUAAACGAUGAGUGCUAGGUGUUGGAUCCUUUCCGGGAUUCAGUGCCGCAGCUAACGCAUUAAGCACUCCGCCUGGGGAGUACGACCGCAAGGUUGAAACUCAAAGGAAUUGACGGGGGCCCGCACAAGCGGUGGAGCAUGUGGUUUAAUUCGAAGCAACGCGAAGAACCUUACCAGGUCUUGACAUCCCGAUGCUAUUUCUAGAGAUAGAAAGUUACUUCGGUACAUCGGUGACAGGUGGUGCAUGGUUGUCGUCAGCUCGUGUCGUGAGAUGUUGGGUUAAGUCCCGCAACGAGCGCAACCCCUAUUGUUAGUUGCCAUCAUUCAGUUGGGCACUCUAGCGAGACUGCCGGUAAUAAACCGGAGGAAGGUGGGGAUGACGUCAAAUCAUCAUGCCCCUUAUGACCUGGGCUACACACGUGCUACAAUGGUUGGUACAACGAGUUGCGAGUCGGUGACGGCGAGCUAAUCUCUUAAAGCCAAUCUCAGUUCGGAUUGUAGGCUGCAACUCGCCUACAUGAAGUCGGAAUCGCUAGUAAUCGCGGAUCAGCACGCCGCGGUGAAUACGUUCCCGGGCCUUGUACACACCGCCCGUCACACCACGAGAGUUUGUAACACCCGAAGUCGGUGAGGUAACCUUGUGGAGCCAGCCGCGCUAAGGUGGGACAGAUGACUGGGGUG